UACGUAGGGCGCAAGCGUUAUCCGGAAUUAUUGGGCGUAAAGAGCUCGUAGGCGGUUUGUCGCGUCUGCCGUGAAAGUCCGGGGCUCAACUCCGGAUCUGCGGUGGGUACGGGCAGACUAGAGUGUGGUAGGGGAGACUGGAAUUCCUGGUGUAGCGGUGAAAUGCGCAGAUAUCAGGAGGAACACCGGUGGCGAAGGCGGGUCUCUGGGCCGAUAUUGACGCUGAGGAGCGAAAGCGUGGGGAGCGAACAGG
rnacentral:rRNA from 1 species